GUGCUAGCUCUGGCAGCACAUAUACUAAAAUUGGGCCAAUACAGAGAAGAUUAGCAGGACCCCUGCACAUGAAUAACAUAGAAAUUCAUGAAACAUUUCAUGUUUUU
ensembl:snRNA U6 U6 spliceosomal RNA